AGUGAACGCUGGCGGUAGGCCUAACACAUGCAAGUCGAACGGCAGCACAGUAAGAGCUUGCUCUUACGGGUGGCGAGUGGCGGACGGGUGGGGAAUACAUCAGAAUCUACUUUUUCGUGGGGGAUAACGUAGGGAAACUUACGCUAAUACCGCAUACGACCUACGGGUGAAAGCAGGGGAUCUUCGGACCUUGCGCGAUUGAAUGAGCCGAUGUCGGAUUAGCUAGUUGGCGGGGUAAAGGCCCACCAAGGCGACGAUCCGUAGCUGGUCUGAGAGGGUGAUCGGCCACACUGGAACUGAGGCAGGGUCGCGACUCCUACGGGAGGCCGCGGUGGGGAAUCUUAGACAAUGGGGGCAAGCCUGAUCCAGCAAUACCGCGUAGGUGCAGAAGGCCUUCGGGUUGUAAAGCCCUUUUGUUGGGAAAGAAAAGCAGCAGGUUAAUACCCCGCUGUUCUGACGGUACCCAAAGAAUAAGCACCGGCUAACUUCGUG
rnacentral:rRNA from 1 species